AGGCUGACCUCCGACUUGUGAUCCUCCUGCCUCAGCCUCCCCAGUCACUGGGAUUACAGGGGCCGGGUGGCGGGAGUGACUGGAGUUUUGCAAGAUCCCAGAGCGAGCCAGUUUACCCACCAACACUGGCGCCAAACUGACAGACGAGGACUUAGCAAAGCACCCAGCCUGCGUGCUCCAGGGGCUCCGAGAUGCCUGCUCCCGGCCGGCUUGUGCCUCAGCACGUGCUGGCCUCCAGGCCAGGCCAGUUCUCACAAGCCCUCCUCCUGCCUCCCUGCGCCACCAGGGAGGAAAGCCACCACCGGCCUGUGCGCUGGGUGCGCGGGGCCUCACCGCCCAGGCGCUCGCUCCUCUGUGGCGCUUGGCUUCUGCCUCGCGGUCAGGCGGCCUCUGCUCCUCUCUGGUCCUGCUGUUGCCUUACCCGGGGGUUCAGAGGCUUGGCCCGGCUUUCCCAGCAGAUCGCUCGGGCAGCCUGAGCAGUCCAGACGGCUAGUCCAUGGGGACACGCGGAACGGCCACUUCAGAUGCGGUCCAUUCCCCGGCCGUUCACCCUGGUGCUUCUGAGGGAAGUGCAGAAGAGCCGCCUGCGCGUCCUAGACUGCUGGCCCCGAGCAGCCGUAAGGAAGGGCACAGGGGCCAGUCUCACCUCUAGCCACUUGCAGAACAAGCGGUGACCCUUAGUUCCUGUUUUCAGCGUCAUCGUGACGCCACAGACUCGCUGAUGCAUCUGGAUCUGCAGUCACUCCUGGUGUUCAGUGGCCCCCCUGGGACUGUGGGUCUGGAGGCCCCUCUGGCGGCUCCUGGGUUGCUCUGGUGGGACCCCAGGGAUGGCCCCACAGGGUGGUUCUCAGACAAGGCUGGGCGGGGUGCCCGCAGUGCCUGGUAUUUCCUGCUGGUGCGACUGUAGGGUCGGGUCUGCGCUCGAGGCGCUGAGCCUGGUGGUGUCCGUGGUGGGCACUUUUUCCACUUAGGUCAGCGUACCUGUCCUCUCCUCUGUGAUCAUCUUCAAAAUAACGUGACCAGUAGGUUCACUGACAACGCUUUUGAACCGAGUUUGGGUUUCUAUCCUUUUUGUGCCGGCCCCUUUAGGUACGCACAGUCAGGAGACGGUUUCAAACUCACUGGAAAGACCUCAGCUCAGUUCCCCCACCACUCCACACCUGUGUGCCUUUAUUUUUCUCUCUUUUUAAAAAUUUUAAAUGAAUUUAAUUUUGCUCAUUAA